rnacentral:tRNA from 1 species
GGUAGCGUGUCCGAGCGGGCCGAAGGAGCACGCCUCGAAAGCGUGUGAGGGUUCACGCCCUCCGUGGGUUCAAAUCCCACCGCUACCG